AUUGAACGCUGGCGGCAUGCUUUACACAUGCAAGUCGAACGGCAGCACAGAGAAGCUUGCUUCUUGGGUGGCGAGCGGCGAACGGGUGAGUAAUAUAUCGGAACGUACCGAGUAAUGGGGGAUAACUAAUCGAAAGAUUAGCUAAUACCGCAUAUUCUCUGAGGAGGAAAGCAGGGGACCUUCGGGCCUUGCGUUAUUCGAGCGGCCGAUAUCUGAUUAGCUAGUUGGUGGGGUAAAGGCCUACCAAGGCGACGAUCAGUAGCGGGUCUGAGAGGAUGAUCCGCCACACUGGGACUGAGACACGGCCCAGACUCCUACGGGAGGCAGCAGUGGGGAAUUUUGGACAAUGGGCGCAAGCCUGAUCCAGCCAUGCCGCGUGUCUGAAGAAGGCCUUCGGGUUGUAAAGGACUUUUGUCAGGGAAGAAAAGGCUGUUGCUAAUAUCGACAGCUGAUGACGGUACCUGAAGAAUAAGCACCGGCUAACUACGUGCCAGCAGCCGCGGUAAUACGUAGGGUGCGAGCGUUAAUCGGAAUUACUGGGCGUAAAGCGAGCGCAGACGGUUACUUAAGCAGGAUGUGAAAUCCCCGGGCUCAACCUGGGAACUGCGUUCUGAACUGGGUGACUAGAGUGUGUCAGAGGGAGGUAGAAUUCCACGUGUAGCAGUGAAAUGCGUAGAGAUGUGGAGGAAUACCGAUGGCGAAGGCAGCCUCCUGGGAUAACACUGACGUUCAUGCUCGAAAGCGUGGGUAGCAAACAGG
rnacentral:rRNA from 1 species